rnacentral:rRNA from 1 species
AUAUCCGGCCGCAGCUUCCACCGCAGGGGUAUCCCCGUCUCGCGUCGUCCCCGUCUCCAAGUAAACUCGCAGACGCCCCGCACCGAGCCCAACAAACCCUCGCGCACCCCCACAUCUUCGCCGACGCGGCCAUGGCGGCGGUGGCGACUGUCAGCUCGGCCGGCGGGAUCCUCGCCAUGCUCCACGAGCCGGCGGAGGAGCUCAAGCUGCACGCGCUCGCCAGCCUCAACUCCGUCGUCCACCUCUUCUACCCCGAGAUCUCCACCAGCAUCCCCACCAUUGAGAGCUUGUAUGAAGAUGAGGAGUUUGACCAGAGACAGCUAGCUGCACUAGUUGUUUCUAAGGUAUUUUAUUACUUGGGCGAGUUAAAUGAUGCACUAUUGUAUGCACUUGGUGCUGGGCCUCUGUUUGACGUUUCUGAGGAUUCAGAUUAUGCUCAUGCUCUUCUAGCCAAAGCAUUAGAUGAAUAUGCGAGUUUCAAGACAAGAGCUUCUAAAGCUACCGAGGAAGAAGAAAAUGUGGAUCCUAGAUUAGAGGCCAUAGUGGAGAGGAUGUUGGAGAAGUGUGUUCUUGAUGGGAAAUACCAACAGGCCAUGGGUAUGGCUGUUGAAUGCAGGAGACUGGAUAAACUGGAGGAAGCAAUUGUUCGGUGUGAUAAUAUUCACGGGGCUCUUUCAUAUUGCAUCAACCUUUCUCAUCAAUAUGUUAGUCACCGUGAAUAUCGCUGUGAGGUUCUUCGCUGUCUUGUUAAAAUAUACCAGACUUUGCCGCAUCCAGAUUUUCUGAGCAUCUGCCAGUGCCUUAUGUUUCUGGGUGAGCCUGAAACUGUUGCGAAUAUAUUGGACACACUAAUUUCUGGAAGCAAGGAUGAUGCUCUCCUUGCAUACCAAAUUGCUUUUGAUCUGGUGGAAAAUGAAAAUCAGGCCUUCCUUCUGAAUGUGAGGAAUCGCCUGGACUCACAGACUCCUGAACCAGCGGGUGAUGUUCAGAUGGGAGAUGACACUACUACGGCAAAUGGAAAUGCUCACCCAGUUGAUCCAAAUGAGGCAGCGCAUGCUGAUAAGCUUGCAAAACUUAAAGGGAUACUGUCAGGGGAGAAGUCUAUUCAGCUUACGCUGCAGUUUUUGUAUAGCCACAACAGGUCCGAUCUUCUAAUUCUGAAGACAAUAAAGCAGGCCGUGGAAAUGAGGAACAGUGUUUGCCAUAGCGCAACUAUUUGUUCCAAUGCGAUCAUGCAUGCAGGAACAACUGUAGAUACUUUUCUAAGAGAGAAUCUGGAGUGGUUGAGCAGGGCUACUAAUUGGGCUAAAUUCAGUGCAACAGCUGGGCUAGGUGUGAUUCAUAGAGGCCACCUUCAGCAAGGUCGGGCUUUGAUGGCCCCAUACCUACCUCAAAGUGGUGCAGUUGGUGGUGGCAGUCCAUACUCGGAAGGUGGUGCCCUCUAUGCUUUAGGUUUGAUUCAUGCCAACCAUGGUGAAGGAAUCAAACAAUUCCUCCGUGAAAGCCUUCGCAACACCAGUGCAGAGGUCAUCCAGCAUGGUGCUUGUUUGGGACUUGGGCUUGCCUCUCUGGGGACAGCAGAUGAAGAAGUGUUUGAGGACAUAAAGAAUGUCCUUUACACAGACAGUGCUGUGGCUGGUGAAGCAGCUGGUAUUGGCAUGGGUUUGCUCAUGGUAGGGACAGCCAGCGAGAAGGCUGCUGAGAUGCUCGCUUAUGCACAUGAUACACAGCAUGAAAAGAUUAUCAGGGGUUUGGCACUUGGCAUCGCAUUGACGGUGUAUGGCAGGGAAGAGGAAGCUGACACCUUGAUCGAACAAAUGACUAGAGAUCAAGAUCCCAUACUACGUUAUGGUGGUAUGUAUGCAUUGGCUCUAGCCUACAGAGGAACCGCGAAUAACAAAGCUAUCCAUCAGCUGCUGCAUUUUGCUGUAUCGGACGUCAGUGAUGAUGUUCGUAGGACUGCAGUUAUGGGUCUUGGAUUUGUUCUAUACAACGAACCUGAGCAGACUCCAAGAAUUGUGUCCCUGCUCUCUGAAUCAUACAACCCGCAUGUUCGUUAUGGUGCAGCUUUAGCUGUUGGGAUAUCCUGUGCAGGAACAGGGUUAAGUGAUGCCAUUUCCUUGUUGGAGCCUCUCACGUCGGACGUUGUUGACUUUGUACGCCAGGGGGCUCUAAUUGCCAUGGCAAUGGUCAUGAUCCAGACGAAUGAAUCCUUUGAUUCUCGUGUUGGAACAUUCAGGCGUCAGUUGGAGAAGAUCAUCCUUGACAAGCAUGAGGACACCAUGAGCAAAAUGGGUGCCAUACUUGCUUCUGGUAUUCUGGAUGCUGGUGGUAGGAAUGUCACAAUCAAACUUCUCUCGAGGAACAAGCAUGACAAGCUCACUGCUGUGAUUGGCCUCGCUGUUUUCACCCAGUUCUGGUACUGGUACCCACUCCUAUACUUUAUCAGCUUGGCCUUCUCGCCAACAGCCAUCAUUGGUCUCAACUCGAACCUGGAAGUGCCUAAGUUCGAAUUCCUGUCACAUGCUAAACCGUCCCUCUUUGAGUAUCCGAAGCCGACCACUCAGCAGACUACGACUUCAGCAGUCAAGCUGCCCACAGCCAUUUUGUCAACCUAUGCCAAGGCAAAAUCUAGGGCGAAGAAGGAUGCAGAAAGCAAAGCUGCUAACCAGGAGAAGACAGCAGAAGCAGAAAGCAAAGCUAACCAGGAGAAGUCAACAGCAGAAAGCAAACCUAGCCAGGAGAAAUCAACGGACGCAGAAAGCAAAGCUAAGACAACGGAAGAUGCUUCUGGUUCUACUUCAGGCGAGGCAGCUAAGACACAGGAGAAGGAUGGUGAUGCAAUGCAGGUUGACGGCGCGGCAGAGAAGAAGGCCCCGGAGCCAGAACCGGCCUUCCAGAUCCUGGCGAACCCAGCCCGUGUUGUCCCCGCGCAGGAGAAGUUCAUCAAGUUCAUCGAGGGCAGCCGAUACGUCCCCGUGAGGCCCGCCCCCUGUGGGUUCAUCCUCCUCCGAGACACGCAGCCCAGCGAGGCGGAGGAGCUGGUGCUCACCGACGCCCCUGCGACCGUGGCCACGGGCGCUGGCAACAAUGCAGCAGCCGCUGCUGCGGGGCAAGGCUCGGCCGCCAUGGCCGUCGACGACGAGCCCCAGCCGCCCCAACCUUUCGAGUACUCGGCGUAGGCUGCUGUGAUAGGAUGGAGCGUUGUCUGUACUCACCCACUAGCUAUACGUUGUUGCUUAUUCCUUUUUCAAGAGUGCGAGGGAAUUUGUUGUUUGUUGGAAACUGUGUAGAAUCAUCAUGAGUAGAGAACUCAACUCUGAACGGGAGUUACAGGAUAUGUGCUCAACCAUGUUUGCAUCAAGGAAGACGAUUUGAUUUAUAUUUUCAAUCGCAUGCAAGGAUAAUUUGUUGCAAUUUUAAUUCGAAACUGCGGGGAGUGCUAGAAAGAGAUGGACCAAACGACCUUGGAUAUUUGCCAGAACUACAGUGCCUAAUUUGUACCCAGUUUCACCCUUUUGCUGUUAAUUCUGAAGCCCAAAGUCCAUGGGCUCUUUGAUCCGGUCGAGUUUGUUGUUGAUUAGUCAGACGGAAUACAAUCUGCAUAAAAUUACGUCUUUGGUUGAUGCAAACAUUUGUUGAAAAACAUAAAUUUAGACGGUUAAAAGAAAAU